rnacentral:tRNA from 1 species
UGCCCUAUUGCCAAGCGGUAAGGCACAGGACUUUGACUCCUGCAAUCGUUGGUUCGAAUCCAACUAGGGCAG